GGAACAACUGGUUUGAAUUUAUUUUUUAUGGUAACAAUUCAUGUUAAUGGAAAAGACCUAUUGACAGCUCUUUGUUGCUUCUGUGGGCACUGGUACAGAGCCUUUUUAAGCUGAUGGAGCAAUUUGUCCAGUUAAUUUUUAUAACAAAUGAAACUGGUAUGCUAACUAGUUAUGAAUAGGGGCUCUACCUAAAUAGUGGGGGGACAUCAAUUUUCUCAGGUUGAUCUGUGGUCAUUUUGUGGCAGCCCCACCCCUUGGCUCUGAUUGGCAGAGAGGCCCCAGGGAGGAGGAGGGAUGAGAGGCCAUCAGCCUUCUUGUCUGCUGCCCUUGGUGCCACCAUGCCAGCCAGUGCUCCCCCGCUGGGGACCCAGCAUUUUUUCCAGAUUUCAUGGACAAUCCUGGAUUUCACAGUUUCCACAAAAUCCACAAAUUAAGUAGGUCCCUAGUUAUGAAACCUGUGAAAGGUCAGUGCUGGACUUUGAAAGAUAAGCAGCCUUUGGUCAUCUGAAUUGAUCAGCAAUAGGUCUGUGAUACCCUUAGGUGUCUGGGGACUCGCACAUGCUGCACUAACUGGAUCAACAUGCAUCUCUCUCAUGCCAAUAGGUGUGCGUAUCCUGUUGAUCUCUGUUAAUGGUGAGGAUUGCAGUUAUUUCUUGUGAAUGAGGA
rnacentral:ncRNA from 1 species